rnacentral:lncRNA from 1 species
GCCUCAAUGUGCCAAACCACCGUCGAGAUCGAUGAAAAUGUUGACCCUCAGGGCCAGCAUUGCCAGCAGCAGCAUCUUAGGCACUGCCAAAUGUUUUUGAGGCAGCAGAGCCAGGGGGGAGGAUGGGACAACCAGCACUAACACCUUCGCGAAAGCUGCAGGCAAUUGCAGCAAUUGGAUACCAGAUGCCGCUGCCUGGGACUUGCGCAAGCCUUGAGAUGCCAGCAGCAACAGGGAGCGCACGGCAGCCAGCAGGAAAUGUAUGAAACGGCAAGUGAAACGCCUCGCAUGUGCCAAAUGCAGCCCAUGCGUAGAGAUGAUGAAGAUGUGCGUAGCUUUAUGCGUAGUAGGAAUAAAUUAAGCUAAUCACUUGUGCUCUAGUAUUUAAUUAGCUGGAGGUUUGACUGAUUAUAGCUACUUAGUAGUGGUAAUUUUUUUUUUUUUUGGUACAAGAGACCAUUUGGUAUUCGAAGACCACAUUAAGUCCUAACUAAUUCAGAUUCGAGCCGGGUAGAACUAUUAGGACAGCAAAGCUCUUCUAACAAAUAUUAACACAAUUGCAUUCCCAAAUCUCGAGAAACUUGAUUAAGUUAGAACAACCUCAUACCAGCUGAUUUUCGUGCUUGUUGGUCUAGUAAUAGUAAUUAAUUAAGCACGUCAUCAUGUGUUUUUGGCGAGUGAGUGCAUGUAGACUUGAGAGGUUAUAUAAAUUAAUAAACAUCUUUGCAAUAGAUGGAGGUAUAACAUUUGUACUUUUCUGUUACAAUCAUUAAAAAUUCAGUCUGGUUGAAGGUGAAAUCUCUUACAAAACAAAAUUUUCUUCUUUCAACCUGUUUUUUCUUCAAUUUUUAAAAAUUUUCUAUUAUAAAACCCUCAAAUUUAAAUCCCUACCACAUUUACAAAACCCUAAAAGCUAAAAAUACCUCCACUGUUCCAUUUCUUCCGUUAACAUCAAUAUUUUAAGAGGGACCGAUGUGUCAUUUUCGUUUACAAUUUAAAAUGUUUUUUAAAUUGGAACUAAUAUAGUAAUUGCACAAGAAAUCAGUGUCACACAAAUGCUUCUAACGGCGUUUUAAAUAAAUAAAAAAAGAAUAUCCUAAUGAAGUUUUAUGAAAUUAACUGCUCCUUAUUAAAAAAAAAAAAAACUACUCAAAGAAUUAUAUAUGUAUAUUGUGGAGGAGAAAAAUUUAGUCAAUGUAACAUCAGAGUCUUAAUUUGUUUUAAGAAAGAAAGAAACUCUGAACUAAUUAGUUCUCAGCAUUCUAGAAAAUUGCUUACUAUAUAAAUUAGUGUAGGAUCAUUGGUGCAUGAGUCUCGCUCUAAUGUUACGUAAAAAUUAAGUUUAUGAGCUUAACUUAUAUUUAAAAUUUAGUUUGAGUUGAGGAUUCCAUUAAGUUUAUACACAGACCUUAAGGUUCAUUCUCAGCCAAUAUAAAAUCUCUUCGACCCAUCGUCGCAUAUAAACCAGUCUUUCUGUGUGAUUACUUCAGAAAUUAGAGUAGGCUAGCUCACUCAUAAGGGAAUUUGACUCUCAAACCAUAGAAACCCCUGAACAUAACUAAUAUCUAAAAACUAGCUAAUUCAGAAUUGAGAGUCGUAUACUUGUAUUAACCUAAUAUCUGAAUUCAAGAACUCAUUCUCAGCCGCAACAACCUCAAUCCGGAAGACAGGAGAAGGCUGCCUUAUGCAUGAUCAUUUUGCCUGCCAGCUUAUUGACUCCAUGUCAGCACUUGAUUCACGUGCUCUCCUGGUACACCAAUUUGGCAGGAUUCGCUUCCUUAUCCUGAUGAUCAUAUUUACAUGUAUAUUAAUGUGUCGCUAAAUCCUUUCAAAUGAAUUAAAAGUUUCCAAAAUUUUCAGUCUAUGAAUGGUUUGAUGCUUGAAUUUCGGCUUACUUACACGUAGUGUUUCAUGAAAAUGCUGCCUUGAAAUGAUUCCUAUGGUGGUUAUUAGAUAUUUCAGCUUGCUUUUGUUUGCACUGUGGCUGGUUUUCUUCGAGUGGUCUGAUGCUACAAUACAAAAAUUCCCGACAGUCAGAUAGAUUCAACUCAUUUAUUACGGAAUUUGUGAGUAUAAAUUAAUUGCAUGUGAUUGCUACGUGGACAGUUUGGAAGAUGGAUUUUGAUGGUGUGGCUCUGCAUUGUUUGCUGAUGAAACUUGCUUACAAAUGGACGGUUAUGCAGUGCCUGCUACAAAACAACGUCGUUUUUUUUUAAUUUUUUAUAUUUCAUUCAUCUUGUUGGCGGGCUGCGUGCUCGAGUUGCUGCAUGCGUGCUUCCUCGUAGAUUAAUUCUACGGACGAAUGGCGCAAAAACUUAUACUGUUUGUUUGUUCAGCACGUGAUGGCUUUGGAAUCAUCUGAAAGCUAUUACUAUUAUUAGAAAGAGUAAUGAUAGGGUCACAAACUCUUGUAAAAAAUUAUUUUGUACAAACUGAUGUGGCAUUAAUUCAUUGGUUGAAUGGAAAUACAAAAUAAUAAAAAUAAAUUAUGUAGGUCAAGAGAUAUUUAAUUCAACUAAUUUUAUCAUGCCACAUCAGUUUGUACAAGAGUUUAUAGUUAUAUCAUUAUUCUAUUAGAAAACUGCUAUUGGAACGACAGUAAGAAGAAAAAAUUAAUAAUAACAAAAACUGUUUAUUGUACGAUAUUAUUAUAUUAUUGUUACAUAUAACAUAAUAAAACUGUUUAUAUCAAAGUACUUGUUUCUACCUUUUUACUUCUUAUUAUCGUACGCAGUUUUGUAUCAUGAUAAUUAAUGUCUUAAUAUUAUUUAUUUUUGUUAUUUAUUAAAAAUGUCCUAAAUAUGUGUAGUAAUGAGAUAAUAUUUCCGCAUUGAUUUUUAUACAUACUAAUCUUAGGAUGCAUUUGGGAUUGAAGUUAAACAACUGUAACUUUUAAGUUACAGCAGUAAAGUGUUUGGUAAACACUAACAACUAUAACUUGAAAGGUAUGUCGACAUAAUUUUUCACUUGUAUAAUGGAUAAUAUAUUAUAUUUUUAAUAAUUUUAUCAAAAUUAUUAUUUAAAAUUUAUAUUUAUUAUAUAUUAUUAACUUUUAUUUCAUAGUUACAGUUCACAGCAGCUGCAGCUUAAAAGGUAUAACACUUCAAUCCCAAAUGUAUCCUUAAUUAUUGGAUGUGACUGUGAGCGGCAAAUUAUAUCUUAACUCCUCGAUGUUACUUAGAAUUUAUGUCAAAAAAGGCAAAUCAAUUUAUGUGACUGUCAGUAUAUGAAGAACAAAUGGUGAUUCGAAAAUUACUCAAAAUCAUCAUUCGCCCAUUAUGUUACCGAUAAUUUUGCCACAUUAAAGUGUGUAUAUCAUGGAAAUUUGAUUUUUUUUUAAAUAUAGAAAAAUAAAUACGACUUGUCGUGGAUCCAAUUAGAACUGAACUAUUCCAUCAUAAAACUAAGGGGUUGUUUGUUUUAAUGUCUGAUGUCUUAAUUUAGUUUAGUUUAAGAUGUUUUGAUAUUUUAUCUUGUUUGUUUUUUAUCUGAAGUUUUAUGAAAAUACAUUUUUAUCUGAAUGAAAAAAGUAAAAUUUCUUGACUUUUAUCUAAAUGAUAAAAUGUUUGAAUGGAAAAUCAAUUUUUUUUCUCAAAAAUACCCUCAUUAAAUGUAUUUAUUUCCAACUUAACUAUUAGAUGUCAUAUUAGAAUUUCUCUUAAUCUCCAUUUUUACUUGGUAUUAAAUACUUAACAUACAUUUAAUUUGAAUUCUAAAUAAAUUCUUUUAUUAUUAGAUAACAACUUUUUUAUGCAUAAAUUUUAUGUUAAAUUGUAAAGAAUAAUGUUUUCAAAAUUAUUUUUCAUAAAUUAUAUAUCAAAUGCUUACCUUAUAAAUACCUAUGUAAACUAUUGUACUAGAUAACACUGUAAAUAUAUAUCUAUUUAAACUUCAGGCAUAUAUAACACUUUCAAAGUCAUAAGUGUUGAAAUGUUAGAUUUAAGAUGUUUGGAGUUAUAAAAACAAACAACUUACCACCUCUACUCAAACGUCAAAAAAUUAAAAAAAAAUAUUAGUUUGACAUAUACAUUUGAAGUCAUUCGGACACAUUUAAAUUUCUGGUAAAAAAGCAAAUACUACCUAACUUAGAUUAUUCUAGUAAAUUGAUUGUGCCAUAAAAUCUAUCCUCUCAUGAUCUCCCAAGGGGAUAUUUUUUACUCGAGUUAUAUAAAGAAAAUUCCGUAAACAAACAAGAACAAUUUAUGCCAGCAAAUUGCUUGUAAAGCGUACGUGUGAUCAUGAAUCACAAGCAUCGAACACCUAACCCUCACCAAGCCAUCUUACACGUUUAAGCCAUGCAUGCCCAAAUUUUACUAUAAAAAUACCCCUAUCACCACAGCAAUUCUCACCAUCAAUCAGCAAAAAGAAAAUAAAAAACCCUAAUAGUAAGCAAUGGCAAAGCUCGCUCUCCUUCUAGCUACCUUUACACUCCUCUUCCUCAUUGCCAACGCCUCCAUUUACCGCACCACCGUCGAAGUCGACGAAGAAAACCCUCGGGGACAGAGCUGCCAGGAGCAGUUCCAGCAGCAGCAGCAGCUUAGGCACUGCCAAAUGUUCUUGAGGCAGCAGAGCCAGGGGGGAGCAUGGGACAACCAGCAGCAACACCUUCGUGAAUGCUGCCGGCAGUUGCAGCAAUUGGAAACCAGAUGCCGC